rnacentral:rRNA from 1 species
GAUGAACGCUAGCUACAGGCUUAACACAUGCAAGUCGAGGGGCAGCAUGAACUUAGCUUGCUAAGUUUGAUGGCGACCGGCGCACGGGUGAGUAACACGUAUCCAACCUUCCGUUUACUCAGGGAUAGCCUUUCGAAAGAAAGAUUAAUACCUGAUAGUAUGGUGAGAUUGCAUGAUAACACCAUUAAAGAUUUAUUGGUAAACGAUGGGGAUGCGUUCCAUUAGGUAGUAGGCGGGGUAACGGCCCACCUAGCCUGCGAUGGAUAGGGGUUCUGAGAGGAAGGUCCCCCACAUUGGAACUGAGACACGGUCCAAACUCCUACGGGAGGCAGCAGUGAGGAAUAUUGGUCAAUGGGCGAGAGCCUGAACCAGCCAAGUAGCGUGAAGGAUGAAGGUCCUACGGAUUGUAAACUUCUUUUAUACGGGAAUAAAGUAUCCUACGUGUAGGAUUUUGUAUGUACCGUAUGAAUAAGCAUCGGCUAACUCCGUGCCAGCAGCCGCGGUAAUACGGAGGAUGCGAGCGUUAUCCGGAUUUAUUGGGUUUAAAGGGAGCGCAGACGGGAGAUUAAGUCAGUUGUGAAAGUUUGCGGCUCAACCGUAAAAUUGCAGUUGAUACUGGUUUCCUUGAGUGCAGUUGAGGCAGGCGGAAUUCGUGGUGUAGCGGUGAAAUGCUUAGAUAUCACGAAGAACCCCGAUUGCGAAGGCAGCUUGCUAAACUGUAACUGACGUUCAUGCUCGAAAGUGUGGGUAUCAAACAGGAUUAGAUACCCUGGUAGUCCACACGGUAAACGAUGGAUACUCGCUGUUGGCGAUAUACUGUCAGCGGCCAAGCGAAAGCAUUAAGUAUCCCACCUGGGGAGUACGCCGGCAACGGUGAAACUCAAAGGAAUAGACGGGGGCCCGCACAAGCGGAGGAACAUGUGGUUUAAUUCGAAGCAACGCGAAGAACCUUACCAAGUCUUGACAUCCUUCUGACCGGUACUUAACCGUACCUUCUCUUCGGAGCAGGAGUGACAGGUGGUGCAUGGUUGUCGUCAGCUCGUGUCGUGAGAUGUUGGGUUAAGUCCCGCAACGAGCGCAACCCUUAUCUUUAGUAGCCAGCGGUUCGGCCGGGCACUCUAGAGAGACUGCCAGGGAUAACCUGGAGGAAGGCGGGGAGGACGUCAAAUCAUCAUGCCCCCUAUGACUUGGGCUACACACGUGCUACAAUGGCGUAAACAAAGGGAGGCAAAGCUGUGAAGCUGAGCAAAUCUCAAAAAUAACGUCUCAGUUCGGACUGUAGUCUGCAACCCGCCUACACGAAGCUGGAAUCGCUAGUAAUCGCAGAUCAGAAUGCUGCGGUGAAUAAGUUCCCGGGUCUUGCACA